UUGUUUCAUAACAGACAACAGUGACGCUGAGCGUAAUGCCUUGAAGACUGUAUGGCCAGAAUCUCAGCGCUUUCUGUGCAUAUUCCACAUCCUGCAGCAGGUCUGGAGGUGGCUGUGUGAUGGUUCACAUGGCAUCAAGAAGGAAGAUCGCCGAGUACUAAUGACAGUGGCAAAGAAUCUGGUAUAUGCUGAUUCAGAUGAAACAUUUCAAGAUGAAUGGAAUUGCUUUUGUCAGACCCCAGAAGCCCAAAAGUAUAACCAGUACAUGAGAUAUAGGCUACCGUACAAGAGGGAAAAAAUACAUACGUUGGUAUCUGGCAAAGCUGAUAGAAAGGAAGGAAGAAUGGAGUACUGUGUACAGGGCUGGAUUUUUGCUACGUGGACACCACACAAAUAAUUUUGCAGAAUCUACCAUGUGCAUCAUUAAAGAUAUCAUUCUCAACAGGUUAGUGUGCCAUUUGUCAUUAUAUAUACCUCAGUCAAGCUAUAAACGUCUAAUAGGUCGAUGAACGGGGUCGUUCAUAGCGAAUUCGUUCAUAGUUAAUACUGUAUGCUA